AUUAAAUAAUAAAUAUCGAAUAAAAUAAUUAUUUAUUUAUUUUUUACUUUGUAGAAAUCAAAAGAAUUGUUUAAAAAUUAAAAUUACAUUUUAAUUUUUUAAACAAUUCAAUAAUGAUGGAUUAUUCUUUUAUGGACCAAAGAUAUAUUGAUUUUUAUAGGGAAAAAAAAAAUAGAAAUUCGAGGCAAUUCGCGAUUUAAAAAAACAGCUUCCUUUUUUAGAUUAAGAUCAACAUUUAAUUUCUUUUAUUUAAAAUAUAGGCAAAGGAUGAAGAAGAUUUUUUAAUGUAGGACGUUUGCCUCUUUCUUAGAAAUCUAAUCAAUUAUCCUGGUUUUAUAAAAUGAUAUAAAAUUUAUUACAUCAUUUUCCACUUAAUUUUGUUAAUCAUUAUAAAUUAAAUUUUCAAUUUUUAUAAAUAUUAUAAAAUAAUAUUUUAGUUUUUAAAAAUAAUUUUGAAAUUUAAAUUUACUUUUUGAAAAUAGAAAUUAGUCAUUAAAAAAUAACUAUAUAAAAUUUUGUAUAAAAUUAUAUUAUAAAAUUUUUUUUGAACUAUUUUACUGCCAAAGAAAUUAUUAAUUUUCAGUUGGAUUCCUGUUUGGAAAAUGACUCCCAACGAGACAUCAUCAAAAAAUUUAUGGAGGCGCUGAUAAUAAACAAUUAAUAAAAAAAAACAGAAAUUAAUGUUUCCUGUACACUUCAAAUUUGAAUUUUACCAUCGGUAAACAGGAAAAAGUUUUUAAAUCCAUCACCAACAAAAUGCUGACAGACAAUAUAUUUUUGGAAAAAACCAAAAGGAAAAUAAAUUAUUAUAUUUUGUAAAAAAAAAAAAUGUUUAACUGAUAUUUUGUAUAAUUAAUAUUUUUAAAAAUAUAUUUAUUCAAUUAUAUGUAUUAAAAUAUGAAACUAAUACAAUUAAAAAAAAUUUUAAUUGAAAAAAAUUGUAAUUUAAAAAAAAUAAUAAUUAAAUUGUUUUUAAUUAUA